ACACCCUGAGUCAAAGUAAAGUGUUUAUGUGUUAGUGCACGACUAGCACCAUCUGGCUCAUAUGGACCACAGUAUAGUGUUAACAUUAGCCCAUUCAUGUUUACAGAAAUUAUAACAUGCAUAGCAUGUGUUUAUGUAUCUGCAGUGCUCUUUUAAUACUCAAUUAUGGUUUCAGUUGAAAUAUAUUAUAUAAUUCAGUUAAAUGAUUAAGACAUACGCUGGUAAAGCCAUAAAUGAAUGAUAUACCACCUCCAGUGGAUGGGGCGGUGUCAGGAAAUUUGUGUGUGUAAAGAAGGUGUUGAGAUGCUUGCAAUCACUCUGUCAGUACAGGCCAGUCAUGAUGGUACUGGGUGUAUUCCUGCUCUUGUCUCUCUUAAUAGGAGAAUCUGUUGGGGAUACCAUAACACCGUCGCAUUCUUCACUGGUCGUCAUAGAGGGAGAAAGUGCCACUUUCUCCUGUAACUACAGUGGUAGUGUCACUAACUUGCAGUGGUAUCGGCAGUACCCCAACUCCAUCCCAGAGUUCCUCUACCUCAUAUAUGAGCAUGGUUCCCCUUCAGGCUCAGUUCCCCGUCUGACUCCCUCUAUAAAGACAGAGGAAAAGCGCGUGUUUCUGGAGCUCUCCUCUGCAGAGGCAUCUGACUCUGCUGUGUACUACUGCGCCCUGGUGCCCACAGUGACAGGAACUCAGACUCUGCUGUACAAAAACCUCUCAGAUGUGCAGGAGGAGGGAGAUUCAACAUGUCCCCUUCACAGACAGUACAUCCAUUUAUACGCUCUGACUAUUAAUCCAGUCUGCUGA